rnacentral:rRNA from 1 species
CCUACGGGAGGCUGCAGUGGGGAAUAUUGGACAAUGGGGGGAACCCUGAUCCAGCGACGCCGCGUGAGUGAAGAAGUAUUUCGGUAUGUAAAGCUCUAUCAGCAGGGAAGAAAGAAAUGACGGUACCUGACUAAGAAGCCCCGGCUAACUACGUGCCAGCAGCCGCGUGAAUACGUAGGGGGCAAGCUUUAACCGGAUUUACUGGGUGUAAAGGGAGCGUAGACGGCGAUGCAAGUCUGAGGUGAAAGGCGGGGGCCCAACCCCCGGACUGCUUUGGAAACUGUAUGGCUGGAGUGCAGGAGAGGUAAGUGGAAUUCCUAGUGUAGCGGUGAAAUGCGUAGAUAUUAGGAAGAACACCAGUGGCGAAGGCGGCUUACUGGACUUUAACUGACGUUGAGGCUCGAAAGCGUGGGGAGCAAACAGGAUUAGAUACCCUAGUAGUC